AAGGCUGUUGGCUUGUGGAGAGACUAGAGCAGACUGCUGCGAGCUGUUUUCCUCCCCAGAAGAACGCUGCAGCGGUAAGCACUAAACACCCAGGAGUCUCCCAAGCACUGGCUCAACCGGCUAGAGCGCGAGCAGCCAGCCAGCCGCUGGGAGACGCUGCCCAGGUCCCAUGGCUUAGCACCUCAAGACUGAAUGGUACCUGUGGGCCAGCUUUUGUUCAAGGCUGCUCUGUGAAGUCUAGAUACUGAGGACGGUCUCGAGACAUUGAGAUGCCCUUCAUCCAGUGCAGAGGUGCUCUUUCGACCCAUUGUCCACAUGUAAUGUUUUCAUCAUGUAAGGGCGUCGGACAUUGUCAAGUGCUUCUUCUGGAUCUGUCUGGGGGCAUGGUCUAGCAGCUCAGUCAAGCCUGUGCAUCAUCUGAUCCCCAGCAGUUCUGGUCCCCCUUGGCCUCUACUUGGCUCUAGAAGGCUGUACCUGGAGAGCAGUGCUGACCGUUGUGAGAACACACACAGCCAAGGCACACUUGGCUUUCGGGUCCACAGUGGACUUCUCAGAGGGAUGGGAACUACUGUCUUCACCUGCUGUUAGGGAAACCUACCCCAUCAGGUUCAGUGUGAGCUGAUGCCCUGGGCCGUUGGUUUAGUCUCCACUGCCAGCUGCCAUGGGCAAGCAGAACAGCAAACUGCGGCCUGAGGUGCUGCAGGACCUGCGGGAACACACAGAGUUCACUGACCAUGAGCUGCAGGAGUGGUAUAAGGGCUUCCUCAAGGACUGUCCCACCGG
rnacentral:lncRNA from 1 species